GACGAACGCUGGCGGCGUGCUUAACACAUGCAAGUCGAACGGAAAGGCCUCUUUCGGGGGGUACUCGAGUGGCGAACGGGUGAGUAACACGUGAGUAACCUGCCCUUGACUUUGGGAUAAAUUCAGGAAACUGGGGCUAAUACCGGAUAGGAGCUCCUGCUGCAUGGUGGGGGUUGGAAAGUUUCGGCGGUUGGGGAUGGACUCGCGGCUUAUCAGCUUGUUGGUGGGGUAGUGGCUUACCAAGGCUUUGACGGGUAGCCGGCCUGAGAGGGUGACCGGCCACAUUGGGACUGAGAUACGGCCCAGACUCCUACGGGAGGCAGCAGUGGGGAAUAUUGCACAAUGGGUGGAAGCCUGAUGCAGCAACGCCGUGUGCGGGAUGACGGCCUUCGGGUUGUAAACCGCUUUCGCUCAUGACGAAGCUUUGUGUGACGGUAGUGGGUAAAGAAGCACCGGCUAACUACGUG
rnacentral:rRNA from 1 species